rnacentral:rRNA from 1 species
AUUGAACGCUGGCGGAAUGCUUUACACAUGCAAGUCGAACGGUAGAGGGGGCAACCCCUCGAGAGUGGCGAACGGGUGAGUAAUAUAUCGGAACGUGCCCAGUCGUGGGGGAUAACGUAGCGAAAGUUACGCUAAUACCGCAUACGAUCUAAGGAUGAAAGCGGGGGAUCGCAAGACCUCGCGCGAUUGGAGCGGCCGAUAUCAGAUUAGGUAGGUGGUGGGGUAAAGGCUCACCAAGCCAACGAUCGGUAGCUGGUCUGAGAGGACGACCAGCCACACUGGAACUGAGACACGGUCCAGACUCCUACGGGAGGCAGCAGUGGGGAAUUUUGGACAAUGGACGCAAGUCUGAUCCAGCCAUUCCGCGUGCAGGAUGAAGGCCCUCGGGUUGUAAACUGCUUUUGUACGGAACGAAAAGGUCUCUCUUAAUACGGGGGACUCAUGACGGUACCGUAAGAAUAAGCACCGGCUAACUACGUGCCAGCCGCCGCAGUAA